AUACGGAGGGGGCUAGCGUUGUUCGGAAUUACUGGGCGUAAAGCGCACGUAGGCGGCGUAUCUAGUCAGAGGUGAAAGCCCUGGGCUCAACCCAGGAAUUGCCUUUGAUACUGGUAUGCUUGAGUCCGGGAGAGGGUAGUGGAAUUCCCAGUGUAGAGGUGAAAUUCGUAGAUAUUGGGAAGAACACCAGUUGCGAAGGCGGCUACCUGGCCCGGUACUGACGCUGAGGUGCGAAAGCGUGGGGAGCAAACAGAAUUAGAAACCCCGGUAGUCC
rnacentral:rRNA from 1 species